GACGAACGCUGGCGGCGUGCCUAAUACAUGCAAGUCGAACGAGCGGCGGACGGGUGAGUAAUGUCUGGGAAACUGCCUGAUGGAGGGGGGUAACUACUGGAAACGCUAGCUAAUACCGCAUAUCAUCAGAAGUGCCCAGAUGGGAUUAGCUAGUGGGUGGGGUAACGGCUCACCUAGGCGACGAUCCCUAGCUGGUCUGAGAGGAGGACCAGCCACACUGGAACUGAGACACGGUCCAGACUCCUACGGGAGGCAGCAGUGGGGAAUAUUGCACAAUGGGCGCAAGCCUGAUGCAGCCAUGCCGCGUGUGUGAAGAAGGCCUUCGGGUUGUAAAGCACUUUCAGCGGGGAGGCGUUACCCGCAGAAGAAGCACCGGCUAACUCCGUGCCAGCAGCCGCGGUAAUUC
rnacentral:rRNA from 1 species